rnacentral:rRNA from 1 species
GGGAAUAUUGGACAAUGGGCGCAAGCCUGAUCCAGCAAUGCCGCGUGGGUGAAGAAGGUCUUCGGAUUGUAAAGCCCUUUCGACGGGGACGAUGAUGACGGUACCCGUAGAAGAAGCCCCGGCUAACUUCGUGCCAGCAGCCGCGGUAAUACGAAGGGGGCUAGCGUUGCUCGGAAUGACUGGGCGUAAAGGGCGCGUAGGCGGUUUAUUUAGUUAGGCGUGAAAUUCCCGGGCUCAACCUGGGGACUGCGUUUAAUACAGGUAGACUUGAGUUCGGAAGAGGGUCGUGGAAUUCCCAGUGUAGAGGUGAAAUUCGUAGAUAUUGGGAAGAACACCGGUGGCGAAGGCGGCGACCUGGUCCGAUACUGACGCUGAGGCGCGAAAGCGUGGGGAGCAAACA